rnacentral:rRNA from 1 species
CCCCGAAUAUCGGGGUGGACAUGACAUGCGAGUCGAGCGUCUCUAGCUAUGUUGAGACGCGGCAUACGGCUCAGUACCACGUGGCUAACCUACCCUCAGGACGGGGACAAACCCGGGAAACUGGGGCUAAUAUCCGAUAGGCGAGGAUUCCUGGAAUGGUUCUUCACCCAAAGGACAUUGGAAACAUGCUUUCUCUGUCGCCUGGGGAUGGGGCCGCGUCCGAUCAGGUUGUUGGUGAGGUAAUGACUCACCAAGCCUUUAACCGGUACGGGCCGUGAGAGCGGUAGCCCGGAGAUGGGUACUGAGAUAAGGACCCAGGCCCUACGGGGCGCAGCAGUCGCGAAAACUCCGCAAUGCACGAAAGUGUGACGGGGCUACCCCGAGUGCCGUCCGCUGAGGAUGGCUUUUCCUUGGUGUAACUAGCCGGGGGAAUAAGGAGAGGGCAAGACUGGUGUCAGCCGCCGCGGUAAUACCAGCUCUCCGAGUGGUAGGGAUGAUUAUUGGGCUUAAAGCGUCCGUAGCCGGCUUAGCAAGUUUCCUGUUAAAUUCAGCGACCUAAUCGUUGAGCCGCGGGAAAUACUACUAGGCUAGGAGGCGGGAGAGGUCGACGGUACUUCUGGGGUAGGGGUGAAAUCCUAUAAUCCCGGGAGGACCACCAGUGGCGAAGGCUGUCGACUAGAACGCGCUCGACGGUGAGGGACGAGAGCUGGGGGAGCGAACCGGAUUAGAUACCCGGGCAGUCCCAGCUGUAAACGAUGCGGGCUAGGUGUUGGGGUGGCUACGUGCCACUUCAGUGCCGCAGGGAAGCCAUUAAGCCCGCCGCCUGGGGAGUACGGCCGCAAGGCUGAAACUCAAAGGAAUUGACG